GACGAACGCUGGCGGCGUGCUUAACACAUGCAAGUCGAACGAAAAUACCAAGCUUGCUUGGUUGAUUAGUGGCGAACGGGUGAGUAACACGUGAGUAACCUGCCCCUUACUUUCCUGGAUAACUGCUCGAAAGGGUAGCUAAUACGGGAUAUUCUGACCAGCCUGCAUGGGUUGGUUUGGAAAGGUUGUUUUUCUGGUAAGGGAUGGGCUCGCGGCCUAUCAGCUUGUUGGUGGGGUGAUGGCCUACCAAGGCUUUGACGGGUAGCCGGCCUGAGAGGGUGGACGGUCACACUGGGACUGAGAUACGGCCCAGACUCCUACGGGAGGCAGCAGUGGGGAAUAUUGCACAAUGGGCGCAAGCCUGAUGCAGCGACGCCGCGUGAGGGAUGAAGGCCUUCGGGUUGUAAACCUCUUUCGUCAGGGAACAAGGCACUGCUUUUUUGGAGGUGUUGAGGGUACCUGGAUAAGAAGCGCCGGCUAACUACGUG
rnacentral:rRNA from 1 species